GGGGGGGGGGGCAAGCGUUGUUCGGAAUUACUGGGCGUAAAGGGCGCGCAGGGCGGCCCGGCAAGUCCUACGUGAAAUCCCACAGCUCAACUGUGGAAUUGCGUGGGAUACUGCCCAGGCUUGAGUCCGGGAGAGGAGAGUGGAAUUCCCAGUGUAGCGGUGAAAUGCGUAGAUAUUGGGAGGGACACCGGUGGCGAAGGCGGCUCUCUGGACCGGUACUGACGCUGAGGCGCGAAAGCUAGGGGAGCAAACGGGAUUAGAUACCCCGGUAGUCCUAGCCCUAAACGUUGAGCACUUGGUGUGGCGGGUAUCGACCCCUGCCGUGCCGAAGCUAACGCAUUAAGUGCUCCGCCUGGGGAGUACGGUCGCAAGGCUG
rnacentral:rRNA from 1 species